GGGGGCGUAUUGGGUUCGACAUUUGAAUUGGAAACCUAACCGCAUGCCAAGAUUGAGAUAAUUCUUGUAAAUCAAUAUCUCAAAAAUUUAGUUGCAGAUAACAACUACGCUUUAGCCGCUUAAUUGGCUAACCGAUACAAGGAUGGUCCAUGGUCCAAAGUAUUGGUCGCUUACAUGGACUGGCAGACUCUUUUUGCCUAAAAAAGAGACUGUAAGAUUAUUAACUUAGGCUAACCUGAAUCGCCCUGCUCCUCGGGCCGUGAUGGUAACUUUUAAAGAGAGAGCUAAGCAUGUAGAAGUGAAGCGGAAAAUCGGAUGGACGCGGGUUCAAUUCCCGCCGCCUCCACCA
rnacentral:tmRNA from 1 species